rnacentral:rRNA from 1 species
CCCUUUGGGGUGUGACUGCGUACCUUUUGUAUAAUGGGUCAGCGACUUAUAUUCUGUAGCAAGGUUAACCGUAUAGGGGAGCCGUAGGGAAACCGAGUCUUAACCGGGCGUUAAGUUGCAGGGUAUAGACCCGAAACCCGGUGAUCUAGCCAUGGGCAGGUUGAAGGUUGGGUAACACUAACUGGAGGACCGAACCGACUAAUGUUGAAAAAUUAGCGGAUGACCUGUGGCUGGGGGUGAAAGGCCAAUCAAACCGGGAGAUAGCUGGUUCUCCCCGAAAGCUAUUUAGGUAGCGCCUCGUGAAUUCAUCUCCGGGGGUAGAGCACUGUUUCGGCUAGGGGGCCAUCCCGGCUUACCAACCCGAUGCAAACUGCGAAUACCGGAGAAUGUUAUCACGGGAGACACACGGCGGGUGCUAACGUCCGUCGUGAAGAGGGAAACAACCCAGACCGCCAGCUAAGGUCCCAAAGUCAUGGUUAAGUGGGAAACGAUGUGGGAAGGCCCAGACAGCCAGGAUGUUGGCUUAGAAGCAGCCAUCAUUUAAAGAAAGCGUAAUAGCUCACUGGUCGAGUCGGCCUGCGCGGAAGAUGUAACGGGGCUAAACCAUGCACCGAAGCUGCGGCAGCGAACGUAUCACCCAAGACAACUUUACGGAGUUGACGAUUGACGGAGCGAAGCGACGUCAAAGCGUUCAUUAAAGUCGAGUUGGCUUAGGGAUACGUUC